rnacentral:rRNA from 1 species
GAUGAACGCUGGCGGCGUGCCUAAUACAUGCAAGUCGAGCGAACAGAUGAUGAUCUUGCUCCUCUGACGUUAGCGGCGGAUGGGUGAGUAACACGUGGUUAACCUACCUAUAAGACUUGGAUAACUUCGGGAAACUCUAGUUAAUACCGGAUAAUAUCUUUAACCGCAUGGUUCAAUAGUUAAAGCCGUUUUUGCUGUCAUUUAUAGAUGUAUCCUCGUCGCAUUAGCUAUUUGGUAAGGUAACGGCUUACCAAGGCGACAGUGCGUAGCCGGCCUGAGAGGGUGAUCGGGCACACUGGGACUGAGACACGGUCCAGAAUCGUGAGGGAGGCAGCAGUAGGAAGUGAGGCAGAAUGGGCGAAAGCCUGACAAAGCAACGAAGCGUGAGGGAGGGAGGUCUUGGGAUCGUAGAAGGCUGUUAUGAGGGAAGAACAAAUGUGUAAGUAACAAUGCACGUCUUGACGGUACCUAGACAGAAAGCCACGACUAACUACGUG